AAAAUAAUGAAAUCCUAAGGAGGGCGAACGUAAACUAAGGUGGAAUAACACAUCAUCACAAAAUGGCUGACCGCUGAUCGAAACGACAUUUCGUUUUAUUAAAAGGAUUUUAUGGGAGGGUGUACAUAGGCGUCGGGGCGGGGGGGGGGGGGCUAGGGAGGGGGCUUAGCCCCCCCCCCCCCCAUGGCACUAGUCUAGCCCCCCCCCCCUACUGUAAAUUUGCUUCCGACGCCAGUGAUGUAUGUAACUUACUCCCCCAUAGCCGAGUGGAUAAAGUGUCGGACUUAUGAUCCGUACAUCCCGAGUUCUAAUCCUGGAGGAACUUUUGUUAUUAUUUACUGGGACAAUUAUUUUAGAUAUUAAUUUUUUUAUCCC
rnacentral:sRNA from 1 species